UCAGAGAAGAAUACAGCUCAGUAUACCUGUAUACCCUAUACAUCAUGUAUUAUAUAGUUCAAUUACUAUGUAUUUUGUCUCUCUUCUUUUUAACCCAGGCUAAUGUUCAUCGCCACACUGUUGGUUCACUGGAAGGAAUUAUCGAUUCUCUGUCGUCUACUGUGGAAGAAUUAACAGAUCUGGCUAAACAGAGAAUUACUACAUUAGAAGUUAAUUCAAAGAAGAGGCGAUUUUGGAGACCCGGUUGAGGACUUUUACCAAACGUGGACAAGUUACAAAUCUGGAUUUGGAAAUCUAACUAGAGAAUUUUGGUUAGGAAAUGACAUCAUAUUCGCUUUAACCAAUCAAAACAAUAUGAUACUUCGAAUCGAUUUAGAAGAUAUGGAAGGU